rnacentral:misc_RNA from 1 species
AACUUUUGGCAACGGAUCUCUUGGCUCUCGCAUCGAUGAAGAACGCAGCGAAAUGCGAUAAGUAAUGUGAAUUGCAGAAUUAAGUGAAUCAUCGAAUCUUUGAACGCACCUUGCGCUCCUUGGUAUUCCGAGGAGCAUGCCUGUUUGAGUGUCAUUAAAUUCUCAACCUUCCAACUUUUAUUAGCUUGGAUAGGCUUGGAUGUGGGGGUUGCAGGCUUCAUCAAUGAGGUCAGCUCUUCUUAAAUGCAUUAGCGGAACUUUUGUGGACCGUCUAUUGGUGUGAUAAUUAUCUACGCCGUGGAUGAGAAACAGCUUUAUCAAGUUCAGCUUCUAACCGUCCAUUGACUUGGACAAUUUUGACAAUUUGACCUCAAAUCAGGUAGGACUACCCGCUGAACUUAAGCAUAUCAAUAAGCGGAGGCU